ACCUGCUGUCACCAACAAAGUCAGUGGAAACCACAUCAUCUUCAGUGUAUCCCAAGAUACCCUUCAAUUUACCCUCUGAUUCCUCUCUAUGAACCAACAACACACAAAUAGGUUAGUCUUUGUUGCACAAAGGACCAACCAAAAACAA